rnacentral:tRNA from 1 species
UCUGAUAUGGUGUAGUGGUCAACAUUAUCGCUUCUCACGUGAUAGCCUCAGGUUUGAUUCCCUGUGUCGGAA